ACGGAAGGCAGCAGUGGGGAAUAUUGCACAAUGGGGGAAACCCUGAUGCAGCGACGCCGCGUGAGUGAAGAAGUUAUUCGUAAUGUAAAGCUCUAUCAGCAGGGAAGAAAAUGACGGUACCUGACUAAGAAGCCCCGGCUAACUACGUGCCAGCAGCCGCGGUAACACGUAGGGGGCAAGCGUUAUCCGGAUUUACUGGGUGUAAAGGGAGCGUAGACGGUCUGGCAAGUCUGAUGUGAAAGGCAGGGGCUCAACUCCUGGACUGCAUUGGAAACUGUCAGUCUUGAGUGUCGGAGAGGUAAGCGGAAUUCCUAGUGUAGCGGUGAAAUGCGUAGAUAUUAGGAGGAACACCAGUGGCGAAGGCGGCUUACUGGACGAUAACUGACGUUGAGGCUCGAAAGCGUGGGGAGCAAACAGGAUUAGAUACCCUGGUA
rnacentral:rRNA from 1 species